GCCGAAAUGGUGGAAUUGGUAGACGCAGCGGACUCAAAAUCCGCAGUCCGCAAGGGCGUGGGGGUUCGAGUCCCCCUUUCGGCA
rnacentral:tRNA from 1 species